rnacentral:lncRNA from 1 species
CAUUUCCCACAAAAUCAACUCUAUAGCCUUUUUGUAAUAAUUGUCCCACACUUAAUAAAUUUCCUUCGACUUUGUGUGAUUUUUCGUUUCCAAGCUUAACUUGAGAAUUAACAUCUUCAUCCAAUUUGACGAAGCUUUCAUUAUUUCCUGUCAUGUGAUUACUGCAACCACUAUCCAAGUACCAAAUAUCCUUCACAUUUAAU